rnacentral:rRNA from 1 species
GGAGUUUAUCGUGUACGCAAGUCAUUGGGUGAAUAAAACCCAAAGGCGAAAUAAAAGUAAAGAGUUAAGUUUAUAAAAAUAAGUUUUACUUGUUUUUAUUUCUUUCUUUAGGGAAGAUAAAAAAUUAAUUAAUAAUUUAUUAUUAAUAUAAAUUUUUUCGCACUCCCGGGGCGCUUGUUUCAUGCUGUAGCAUUUCAAUGCGCACCUAGAGCGUACACGCUGAUACCCGAAAGAUGGUGAACUAUGCCUGGCCAGGACGAAGCCAGGGGAAACCCUGGUGGAGGUCCGCAGCGAUUCUGACGUGCAAAUCGAUCGUCGGAGCUGGGUAUAGGGGCGAAAGACCAAUCGAACCAUCUAGUAGCUGGUUCCCUCUGAAGUUUCCCUCAGGAUAGCUUGCGCUCAGUUGAGACGAGUCUCAUCCGGUAGAGCGAAUGAUUAGAGGCAUUGGGGUCGAAACGACCUCAACCUAUUCUCAAACUCCAAAUAGAUGAGACCCCCGGCUUUCUUAAAAUUGAAGCCGUGGGAAUAGGAUCAGA